rnacentral:lncRNA from 1 species
GUGCUUGAAAUCUCCAACUGGAACCUGAAAACUGUGGGGUAGCCAAACCAGGCAAAGAGAUUGAAAGGAAUUUUCCGAUUUCCAAACUAUUUCAGUUGUACUACAUUAGCUAAGAUCUCCAUUGAAUGGAUUUUUAAAUCCUUAAAACAAGAAUACCACAAAGUCCAAACAACUGCAAAUGAAAGACUCCCAUUGGAAUAAAACCAUAAUCAAGUACUUUAAACAAAAAUAUAAAUACUACAUUAAAAUGUCUAAAGUAAUUACGUACAAUAUAAACUUGCAGUAACAUACCUUUUACCUGAUGGUCUUCAUCUGUGUUUUAUCUUUAGCCGAAAAAAACAACAACAACAACAAAGAAAAAGCCCCCAAACCAGGAUAAACUGGAAACAUUUAUUAAAGCAACCAUCAAUUUUACUGCCAUCAU